rfam:Cajanus cajan Scaffold111128_1, whole genome shotgun sequence.
GAUGAUCGACGCUGAACAUAAUGUGCGAUUUUUUUCUCUCUAGAGAAAUCAAGCCAAUAAAUCUGAUCCAU